AUCGCUUCUCGGCCUUUUGGCUAAGAUCAAGUGUAGUAGUACUUUCAGAUUUUUUAAUGUAGCUUUACAAUAAAGUUGAAUUAGGUUAUGUGAUCAUAUUUCUAUCUGGUUUACCUCGUAAGGCUGAUAGAUGUCUCGUGCUUGCUUCCCUAUUCUUCCAAAUGCAUGUUAAACAUUAGUCUUC
rnacentral:snRNA from 1 species